UACGUAGGGUGCAAGCGUUGUCCGGAAUUAUUGGGCGUAAAGAGCUUGUAGGCGGUUUGUCGCGUCUGCUGUGAAAUUUCGGGGCUCAACCCCGAACUUGCAGUGGGUACGGGCAGACUAGAGUGUGGUAGGGGAGACUGGAAUUCCUGGUGUAGCAGUGGAAUGCGCAGAUAUCAGGAGGAACACCGAUGGCGAAGGCAGGUCUCUGGGCCAUUACUGACACUGAGAAGCGAAAGCAUGGGGAGCGAACAGG
rnacentral:rRNA from 1 species